UUGGCCGCUGCGCGAGACAAGAAGAUUAUUAGUGCACGCGCUCAGGUGGAGGGGAGCACAAGAGAAAACCUGAAGAGGGGGGUAAGCUCACUUUUUCUGGAUGAAGUGCGCUGAAAGUGCCGUAGAAGACGCCCACUGUGCGCUUCCUUCUUGUGGGCUUCGAAGGUGAGAACUGGUCUCCUGUGUCGGGAGCUGCGUUCUUGGGACCAAACCCACUCCACGUUAGGAAGAAGGCUCGGCUGAGAAAAGUCAUGGACAAAAGAAGAAAAAUAAAGAGGAAGCCAGCGGCUGUGGGGAAAUAGAAACACGGAAAAAGAAGAAGGGAGAAGUGUUGGCAGAGGAAAGACGAGCAGGAUGGGGAUGGAUUUCAGUACUCUUCGGACUCUCAUCAGCCGAUAUUGUGCUGGGGAGGAGAACUGUGUGGACACCAGGACGGUUUAUAUCGGACAUAAGGAGCCUCCUCCAGGAGCUGAGGCCUUCAUUCAGCAGAGGUUUCCAGAUAACAGAAUAGUUUCCUCCAAGUACACUUUUUGGAACUUCAUCCCCAAGAACAUGUUUGAGCAGUUCAGGAGAGUGGCCAACUUCUACUUUCUCAUCAUCUUUCUGGUUCAGCUAAUCAUCGACACUCCCACAAGUCCCGUCACCAGCGGGCUGCCGCUCUUCUUUGUCAUCAUUGUGACGGCCAUUAAACAGGGCUAUGAGGACUGGUUGAGACAUAAAGCAGACAAAGCUGUCAACCAGUGUCUGGUCCAGGUGGUGCAGCACGGGAAAGUGAGCCGCAAACACAGUCGCAAGCUUACGGUCGGAGAUGUGGUGUACGUGAAGGAAGACGAGUCCUUUCCGUGCGAUCUCAUUCUUCUCUCCUCAUCCCGAGAUGACGGGACGUGUUACGUUACAACGGCCAGCCUGGACGGGGAAAGCAGCCACAAGACGUAUCAUGCAAUACAAGACACCAAAGCUUACAAAACAGAGGAAGAGGUCAACUACAUCCACGCCACCAUAGACUGUGAACAGCCGCAGCCAGACCUGUACAAAUUUAGGGGCAAUAUCAACAUUUACAUGGGAAAUGAGCCCGUGUCCAGAUCUUUGGCGUCUCAAAAUCUGCUGCUACGCGGAGCUACGCUUAAAAACACUGAAUAUAUCUACGGUGUUGCUAUCUACACUGGCAUGGAAACCAAGAUGGCUCUCAACUACCAGUCCAAAUCUCAGAAGCGAUCGGCGGUGGAAAAGUCAAUGAACGCCUUCCUGGUGGUCUACCUGUGCAUCCUCAUCAGCAAAGCCGUCAUCAACACGGCGCUGAAGUACGUGUGGCAAGCCGACCCCAACAGAGACGAGCCGUGGUACAACGGGAAGACGGAGAGCGAGAGGCAAAGACACGUUCUGAUCAGGGCGUUCACAGACUUCUUGGCCUUUAUGGUGCUGUUCAACUACAUCAUCCCCGUCUCCAUGUACGUCACCGUGGAGAUGCAGAAGUUCCUGGGGUCCUACUUCAUCAUGUGGGACGAUGAGAUGUUUGACGAGGAGCUGGGCGAGCGAGCCGUGGUCAACACGUCAGACCUGAACGAGGAGUUGGGUCAGGUGGAGUACGUCUUCACAGACAAAACAGGGACUCUGACCGAGAACAACAUGGAGUUCAUAGAGUGCUGUGUGGACGGAAACGUUUACGUACCUCAUAUCAUCUGUAAUGGACAGGUGAUGCCUGGUGCUGCUGGCAUCGAUAUGAUCGACACAUCGCCAGGGCCUGAAGCCAGGGAGCGUGAGGAGCUGUUUUUCCGCGCCUUGUGUUUGUGCCACACGGUACAGGUGAAGGAGGAGGAGACGGUGGAUGGGAUCAAACAUGGCAUCCACCAGGGCAAGUCCUCCUCCUUCUACAUCUCCUCUUCGCCAGACGAGGUGGCGCUGGUGGAGGGCAUGAAGAGGCUGGGCUUCACCUAUCUGCGGCUGAAGGACGGUCAGAUGGAGAUCUUAAACAGGGAAGAUGAGAUAGAGAGGUUUGAGCUGCUAGAAGUUUUAACUUUUGACUCCGUGAGACGGAGGAUGAGCGUCAUCGUCAGGUCCAGCACGGGUGAGCUGUACCUCUUCUGCAAAGGAGCCGAUUCCUCCAUCUUCCCCAGAGUUGUUUCAGGAAAGAUGGAGCAGAUCAAAGCGCGGGUGGAGCGAAACGCAGUGGAAGGCCUGAGGACUCUCUGCGUCGCUUAUCGGCGGCUGAGUCCGGAGCAGUAUGAGCAGGUCUGCCACCUCCUGACCAGGGCCAAGUUGGAAUUUCAGGACCAGGACAAGCUGGUGGCCGAGGCAUAUGACCUCAUCGAGAGAGACCUCAUCCUGCUGGGAGCCACCGCUGUAGAGGACAGGCUGCAGGAGAAAGCUGCAGAUACCAUCGAGUCUCUCCACAAGGCGGGCAUGAAAGUGUGGGUGCUGACCGGAGACAAGAUGGAGACUGCGGCUGCUACCUGCUACGCUAGCAAGCUGUUUCGCCGCAGCACCCAGAUUCUGGAGCUCACCACCAAGCGGACGGAGGAGCAGAGCCUGCACGACGUCCUGUUUGAGCUGAGCAGAACGGUGCUCCGGCAUUACGGAAGCAUGCCGCGCGACGCCUCCUCUGGUUUAUCCAGCGAGUACAUCGACUAUGGCCUGAUAAUCGACGGCGCCACCCUCUCCGCUGUGAUGAGGCCCAGCCAGGAAGACUCCAACUCAGGGAAUUACAAAGAGAUAUUCCUGGAAAUCUGCCGCAACUGCAGCGCAGUGCUCUGCUGUCGAAUGGCUCCUCUUCAGAAAGCACAGAUAGUCAAGAUGAUCAAAUCCUCCAAAGAGCACCCGAUCACCCUCGCCAUUGGAGAUGGGGCAAAUGAUGUUAGCAUGAUCCUGGAGGCCCACGUUGGCAUCGGCAUUAUGGGUAAAGAGGGUCGCCAAGCAGUAAGAAACAGUGACUACGCUAUCCCAAAGUUUAAACACCUCAAAAAGAUGCUGCUUGUUCAUGGACACUACUACUACAUACGCAUCUCUGAACUCGUGCAAUACUUCUUCUACAAGAAUGUUUGUUUCAUCUUUCCCCAGUUCCUCUACCAGUUCUUCUGUGGCUUCUCCCAGCAGCCACUAUAUGACACGGCUUACUUGACUCUCUACAACAUCAGCUUCACGUCGCUGCCCAUCCUCCUCUACAGCCUCAUGGAGCAGCACAUCAACAUGGACAUCCUGAAGAAGGAGCCAACGCUUUACAGAGAUAUAGCCAAGAACUCAUUACUAACGUGGCCCAUCUUCAUAUACUGGACUGUCCUGGGCGUGUAUGAUGCCAUUGUGAUGUUCUUUGGUGCUUACUUCCUGUUUGACAAUACCACCUUCACCAGCAACGGACAGCUAAUGACAACCAACACACAGAUGAUGUUUGGAAACUGGACGUUUGGGACUCUGGUCUUUACUGUGCUCGUUUUCACCGUUACAUUCAAGUUGGCUCUCGAUACUCAUUACUGGACGUGGAUCAACCAUUUUGUCAUCUGGGGCUCGCUUGUCUUCUUUGUAGUCUUCUCUCUGCUGUGGGGAGGAAUUAUUUGGCCUUUCCUGAACUACCAGCGGAUGUACUACGUGUUCAUGCAGAUGCUGUCCAGCGGUCCGGCCUGGCUCAGCAUCAUCCUGCUGAUUACAGCCAGUCUGCUGCCGGACGUGGUGAAGAAGGUGUUCUGGAGGGCGCUGUGGCCCACCACCACUGAACGCAUACAGAGCGCCGAUAAGCUCUACAAGGGCCAGCUGUCAGAGUUCACGCCCCUGGAGGCUCUCCACCCUCCGCCCAGGGCCGGCGACCACCAGCGAAGCUCUGGAACCCAAAGGAACCCUCGAAGGUCUGACACCCCAAACAAGAAAGUCAUGUUCACACGCUGGCAAAGAGCGCCAGACUACCGCACCUUCACCCCCCUGCUCCGAUUUACUGACGGCUCCCGACACUCGAGGCCGGGGAACGCCUACAGAGGGGCGGGGCCGGAGACCUCAGUCUAAUUUAUUUUGUUUUUGUGAGGUGUUUUUUUUUUUUUUUUUUUUUAUAAAUACUUUUUCAAAUAAAAAGGAGCUGAACUGAGCAAAAAAAGGGUUUGUCUUUAACCUCCCAGAGCCUCUGAGCUGGGGUCGGACAUGUUGCCACGUUGGGACUCAGUGGAUUUAAGUCUCAACCCUCAAAACAGAGACUCGAGAACUGUGAUUUCACUCUAAAAUAUGUGCACUGGCCCUUUAACAGUAUCUGCCUUCAGUGACAGCUAAAGUGUACUUCAUCUGUUCAUCUUCAUCUUUUAACUGUUUUUACGUAUUGACUGGGAUUAUUAUCAUUAUUAUUAUUAUAAUGACUCAUUUCACUCUGUUUUCAGCUGCUUCAUCUCUUCCCCUCUCCUCUCUGCCCCGACCUGCCUCUCUCUAGGAAUAACUGCUGUUGGCUGUGUGCAAACAUGUUGUCCAGAAACUCUCCGUAGGGCUCUGCGCGCAGAUCCUACUGCACUGUUUCCCACCUCUGCCACAACCACAUCCAUCUGUCUGAUCAUCAUCAUCACCACCAUCCACUGUUCCCUCCUGCUCCUCCUUUGCCACAUUCCUCCAUUGAAUCAUCUCUCCAUCCAUCAUGACACAGAGCAGAGAUGCUGUUUUGAUGACUUGAUUAGGACCUCGAUGAACCAAAGCCUUUUUGCUGCUACAGUAGAGAUACUUUUAGCUGCUUUACAUUAGGUGCCUUGUGCUAGUUUAUGAAAUAAAUGAUUGUUUAAAUGCUUUACGGUGCAUUAAUACGUGUUGGUGGAGCAUUUGGAUGGUACAACGACUCUGCAAAGCAUGGCUGCAUAGAUGCAAACUUGGGGAAAUAAGUUUAAUAGCGAGUUUAAGUUGGUGACGAAAUUAGCUAUGACUUCCACCAAAACAACACGACUGCUUGGUAUCUGUUUCUGUGUUAUUUAUAUGCCUGUCUCCGAGAUGGUUGUAUUUAAGUUCUGUAAAGGAAAUUUUUGUAAAACACAGAUUAUCCCUGCUGUCUUUGUUUCCUGCUUUAACUCUUAGAAUUAUGGCAAAUGCUGGAUUUUAACAGCUAGAAUUCAGUUUUUGCUUUCAAACACUUCAAAUCCAAAAUGAAAUCAAUGAACAUCCAAAUCUAUAAAUGCAUAAAAUCAGCACUACCAGCUAAAGACUUAACAUUUUGACACAAAUCUUUAUUGUUCUUCUAUAAUUCCUGACGUCUUUAUCUUUUUCGUAUUUCAGAUAUAUGCAAUGAACAUUAACUAACUCAUAGAUUGGCAUGUAAAAUGUGUGAAAAGCUGCAUAGUAAAUCCCAUCUUUUAUUGCAGUAGCAUACUCUCAUAUUGGAAAUUUAAGCAUUCCCACAAAAUUCCCAGUGCCUUUGGGGGAAAAAACAAACAAAGUGGUCCAUAUCAUAAUGCUUCCUCCACCUUUUUGGAGUGUCGUCUGACCGAAGCACAUGAUUCCAGUUAAAUUCCCAGUGGAGUUUAACAAAUUCCACAUUUGAUUAUGAUGGUAGAAAAGAAAAAAUAUUGUUUAUGUAUUGCUUUGACCAUAGAUAUACCAAAGGUUAGGGGAAGUAGCCGUUUCCUGAUGUUCUUGUCUUUCCUAUUUUGAAGAGUGACCAAUAGAAACGGGCCUCUAUGUUGGGUCGUAUUUAUUUCCCAGGGAAACGGGAAGCCAUCAAAGUCAGAAAAUGUGCUUUGUUAGUUGAAAUUACCAGUGAUAGUUUUAAACAUUUCUUUUUUGUUGGAUUUUUUUUUUUUUUAGCACAUUUCUACCACGAGAGCUAAUAAUUGUGGAGGACAUUACAAAGAAAACGAGUUUUAAAAAAAAUGCCUCUCCUCUUAAUGUCCUGUCAGAGCUAAAAGUAAAAGUUAACCUUAAGAGUUGGGAUGAAGUUACCGGAGCUGGAUUGAGAAAUUUUAAAAUAUUUGAUGUUCUCUUAAAUUUCCACCCAAAUCAGACAAAAAUAUUGGAACUUAAAAACAGCAAACCUGAAAACUGCAAUACUACCCGGCGCCCAUUAGCAACAGAUGAGGAAUGACACUUUGCUGUAGAAGCACUUAAAGCCAUGAGUCACGGGUUGUAUCCGUCUCCAUUGUCGUGUUCGCGUGAGACUUUCUAAACCUGCGACAUUCAGACAGAAUGCUACCGUUUCUGUUUUGCAAUGCAUCAUUGUAAAGAAAUCUGUACGUCUCACUAACUAAUGGUAUCGCCUAAUUGCUGUACGCUCAGAUACAGUAAAGACAAAAAAAUAUAAACAGUAUAUACGUGUAGUUUAUGCUAACUGUUGUACAGUUUUGGGGUGUUUUUGUAUACAGUUUUUAAGAGUAUUAUCAAGAUUUUAUUGUGGAUUUUUUAUUUUUUUUGCCAAUUUUUCUUUAGCUUUCAAUGGCACACGAUUGUACAUUUGCUCCAAAAUAAAAGCCACAAGUGGAUGUAUGGGGGAAAACAA